UUUUGGAUAAGUACUGAUUAGCUUCCCUAGGAUUUUAAUUCCUACAAAGGCCUUCUUUUGGUGGUGAAUUGGAUUUUAAUUCCUAUAAAGGCCUUCUUUUGUGUCUAUUUUGAUGCAUAAUUUCCCAAUUCCAACUACAACAGCUACUUCUUCACUCUCAUCUCAAUGCAGGAUUGUCUCCGCAGAAUUGGCAUUCUCACUACAAAUAAGAGUAGAGGUCCAAAACUGAGCUUGGAGGGAUAUCCAUGGCCUUGUUGUGUUAUGUAUUGUUUUAUUUGAGUGAAUUUGCAGCCAUAGUUAGUGUGGAUGCUCAUAUCUGGUUGUUGAGAUUUGACGAAAUUUCGCAGCAUUUCUUUGUGCUGAUAGUAGGAAGAUAAUGUGUAUACUUUGUUGGGGGAUUAUGGGUUGUAUCAUGGGACAAGGGUGAAAACUAGGCAUUGAUGCUUUCCUAGUGCUAGCACUUCAACGUGAAAUGGAUCCCACGGCCUAUCACGGUUGGAUCAUGAUAUCUACGUGGGCAGAGGUGGGUGUGCAAUUGCACCCCCUCAAAUGUGAGCUCCUAAGACCAAUAUUGAACUAAUUUAGUCAUUUUAAUCCUGUCGCACCCUCUAAAAUAUGUGUUGAUUGGUAACUUCUAACUUGUCUACCCAUUUCUCGAAUCCUGGCUACGCCCCUGCGUCGGGGUGCUAGCAACCUGCUAGAACCAACAUGAGUGCGGCGCACCCUAGCAAGGUUGUCGUUAGUUUCCUAUGAUCUGAAGCUUAUUGAAUUAACUGAAUUUGCUGACAUUUUUUACUAUGAACACAAACAAACGCUGUGAGUGAACUACAACCCUCUUGAAUCAGUUUUUUGUUUUUUUAACUUUGCACUGACACAGGCACUUGACAGAAUAGGGGGAUUUUUUUUUGUGGAUGAAUGCAUCCAGCUAAAGUAAUUUUCCUAUGGUAUCUGGUAUCUAGUCGGAUUCCAAACGAACAAAUUCAAACUCGAAAAGGAUCUUUCUGAUUCUCGAAGAAUGAGGGGCAAAGGGAUUGAUUGAGAAAGAUCUCUUGUUCUUAGACUCAAAACAACGCGGACACAUAUCGACCUUUAAUGACCUGUGCUUGUGAACCUUACUUAUGAGAUCUUGGACCAGACAUUGCCUGCUCUUCGGUAAGCAAAAUUCAGCUGAGUUGUAAGAUUGUUUUGUCAUCACUAUCCUUGGAGUUAACAGAUAUAGAAUUUGGGAGUGGAGUCUGUGCAAGCAGCAUCAACUUGUUGACCAAUAGCUCAAGCGUCUCGACAGCACUGUUACUUUUAACACAUAAGUGUAGUAUAGUUUCUUGAUCAUUCUUUAUGUGAAUUGCAUCCGACAUUCCAUCUUCCAGUAGUAGUUUCAUGAUCUCAACUCGAUUUUUCAUAGCUGCUAGAUGUAAAGGUGUUCUUCCAUCUUCAUCUUGAACUAUACAAGCACCAGGUCCGGCCUUGAGCAGCAAUUUCACCAUCUGAUGAUUUUUUCUGGCUGAAGCAAGGUGAAGCAGAGUGAAUCCAUUUGAGUCUACUUUCAAUGCAAGCUCGGGUUUUAUAGAUAGGAUUUUUGUUGCAAAUUUUAUGUCACCGGACAUCGCUGCUAUGCGUAACGGAGUUCUACAAAAACUAGUAGAUACUGCAUCUGGAUUAUCAAGACGGGAAGUAUGUAAACAUGUUUGGACAAUAAUCACCAAGUUUCUGGAACAUCUCAGAUAGACUGUCCUUUUGAGAGGUGGUUAGCGCCCGCCAAUGUUGAAAAUUUAGCAAGAAAGUAAAUUUGGCUUGGGCUUCUUAAACUAGUGGUGGUGGGACACGCCUCAGCACCCCUGGUUCGGUUGCUGUGCUGUCUAAAAAUUUAUCCCACUGUGCCACAGACUUAGCAUUACGAAAACGUAGACUACCAAGUUGAAGAGAGAAAAUUGUGUCUGGAUCAGAAGAUCUGCAAGUGAAAAUGUAAUUACCAGUUGUACGUACACAGUCGGUUUUUACCC